ACAUUGUUUUGUAAAACUAAAAGGAUUAAAUCUAUGAGGUUCAUAAGCUGUUUAUGGAUAACAUACUUACUAAAAGCCACUUAGGAAUUAUGCAGAAUUGACCCUGGGUUGCCUUUGCCAAUGAAUAAGUUUUUUUUCACAGAGUAACAUUUUGGGGACACUGUCAGAAGUAGCAAUAUAGACACUUGAUUUUUUUGCUUGAGAUGCAUGCUUGGGAAUUCUGCCUUAAUUUCAUUUAUCCAUUCAUUCACUCAGGAAAUACCUAGUGAAUACUUACCAUUAGACUGGGAAUGACAAGUGAUCAAGGCCCCUACUCAAAUGUCACCUUCUUAGUGAUGCUUUUCCUGCCUCCUCUACUGGCAACCAGAAUCCCUCUUCUCUGCCUUGCCACAUCCACUUUCCCUUUCCCUGAUUUUUUGUCUGCAAAGCAGUCACUGCCAUCAGAUUAUAUUUUACUUUACGUCUCUCCCGAUUAGGAAUAUAAACUCCCUUAGGUCAGAUAUUUUUACUUAUUUUGUCAUUGGUUGUAUCAUCAGUAUCGAGAACUGUGUCUGGCACAAAGGGACAGUAAAUGUUGUAUUGAAGGAAUCGAUGAGGUCCUGGCUAUCAUUUCCAUUCUGUUUCUGUCCCUAAAAAUGGAUACUAGGUAUGCCACGUAUUGUACAUGCUAAACUUUUUCGAAGCAGCAAAGCAAAGCAAUCUAAAUUCAAGAAUGGCCGUGGGACAUCCUAAUUUGGAUUAGAUGGUCAAAGACGCCUUGGGAGAGGAGGUGACUUUUAGUCCUGAAUGAGAAGCAGGCACUGUGCAGGCUCAUAUCUAGGAGAAGAGACUUUGCAGUAGAGCAAACAGGUGAAAAGAGCUCAGAGGUGGGAUUGUGUCUGGGCUAGUCAAGGAGCAGCCAGAUGGCCAAGGAAGCUAGAGUGGGCAGUGGAGAAUGGGAGGAAGAAAGGUGAUGUAUACAGAGCUCAGAACCAGCCUCACAGUUAAGAUGGGAUUUUUGUUCUCAGUAGGAAGAGAAGCCUUGCAAGGUUUUUUAAGCAGAGAGGUGACAUGAUCUGAACUAUGCUUUUUAAAAAUUGCCUGGACUAUUGUUUGUCAGCCAAGAAGGAAGACCAGUUGGAGGCCAUUGUAAGAGUCCAGGUAGACGCCAGAAGCUUUGGACUGAGUUAACAGCGAUGCAGGUGUGAAGGUAGACAGACUCUGGGCCUAUUUCAAAGGUUGAGUCAAAGAAAAUUGCUAAUCGAUUGGAUGUGAAAUGAUAGAAAGAGGCAUUCAAGAUGAUUUAAGGUUUGAUUUGACCUUUUCAUUUGAAUGAUUGUAUAAACUCACCAAAGUCUGUUAACCCUUGAGACUAGUGAAUUUUGUUAAAGUCCAUGAUAUAGUUACAAUUGAAAAAAAAAUAUUUGAGGAAAUAAGUCCUAUUUUGUAAUAUUUGUAAUAUGAGACGCAGAGCUAAAAUGACAUAUAUAGCUAUUGAGGGGAGAAGAUAAAUUCUAGGGCUUUGCAGCUUGAAUAGUUGAUGACAGAAUGCUUGGUCUUUUAAUACCCAUGUAUGCCUGACAUAUGCCCCAGAUUUGAUGUGCUUGAGCAGUUUGUUCUGUGCUGGAAAAUAUGGUUGUCCUUUGUAGCACUGAGCAUUGUAGAAUGAGGUGGGAGUUGGCUGUAUAUAACUUGGAGGUUAAGAAGAGAGAAUGUCAAAAUUCUCUAUACAUAGAAGAAAUGAAUCAGUUUCAAGAUAUAGCAAAAUAAAGGAAUGGCUAUAGACUUGUGACACUAGCAGAGAUCCAGAGCCCUAUCUGAUUAUAUUCAUAUAUCCAGAUGGGGUAUGUAUGUGACUUUAAUUGUGCACAGGGUCAUCUACCUUGAGGCUUAGGGUCUAAACUUCCUUUAAGAACAAAACAAAUUUACCUGAUUCUUUUUUUGUCAGUCGAAAUCAGAGUAUCUAUGGCAGCCAGUUAGCUUAUGUGUGGCUGAGAGAUCCUCAUAGAAUUCAAAUUCCCUUGUUCAACUUCCAAAAUUCUUUUUAAGCAUCUUUAUGUGAGAUGAUUACCUCUCACAUAAAGAUAAAGAAUAGGAAAAAAAAUUCAGUAACUUACUUAAAAUUAUAGUUAUCUGAAAUUUGAAGCAUUUAAAGUUUUUCUAAGUUCUUCCACAAGCUGUCUCUUGAUGUUAAAUACGUGAGUUUUCUUUUUGACUGUUUGAUGCAACACCCUGUAUCCACUUUCUUAAACUCCCUUCAGAAACAAAUUGAUAACUGAUUCUCUAGUUGCAAAAUAAAGCUGUAGAAAUGGUGCUUUAGGUAAAUGAAGCACUAUUAUAAGUAAAUGGUUAGUCUAAUAGCACAUUAAAGGCAUAUUAAAUAAGAGAAAAUGGUCCUUAAAGGGACUUCAAGACAGUGGUAAAUGUGAGUCAAACGUCUCUCAACCAUUCUGUCUGCUUACAUUAAAAAAAAAAAAAAAAAGCAUGAAAUUUCCUGUCCUUUGCCAAAUGUGAAAGGGGGUGACUGUUUAUUUCAGUAAAAAUUUGUCAGGUUAUUUAUGUUUGCAUGGAUCUUGUUAGUUAUACAUAUUUUUUUCUAUCUUAUACCCUAUGUCCGAUAAGGGUUCCUUUCCCAAGAGCAGUGAUUUCCAGAAUCUCCUUUCUGUCUGAUGUUGCUUUAGGGUGUUGUUUACAAGAACAUAGAUGAUUCUAUGCAAUCCUAUCUCUCUACUCCUCAAAUCCUAUACAGUUUUAUUAUGUUUGUUUUUCUAAAUUUUCAGUAUUUUCUAACUGCAGUCCUAUUAACUGUAAACAACUAGUCCCUUAUAAGAGUAUGGCUUAGAAUACUCUUGAUUUCAAUUAUCAGCUGUAAUAAUGUCAGACAAAUAUAUUGUCUUAAAACUAUCAUCAGUAGGGUAUCCCAAACAUUAUUCCAGGAAGAAAACUUCCUUGAUUCUUAUUUCUGAGGAAAUUUUUGAAGCUGUAAUAAAAAUUUCCUUAAGAAGAAUGUAAAUAGCAAAAAUAUGCACAUUUAGUAGUGACUGCAAGUUAACUUGCUUUUAGCUUUAUCUUAAAAUGUCAUUGGAAUUUCCCAUUUGUGGCUCAGAAGUAACAAGCCCAACUGGUAUCCAUGAGGAUGUGGGUUUGAUUCCUGGCCUUGUUCAAGGGCUUAAAGAUCUGGUAUUGCUAUGAGCUGUGGUGUAGGUCGCAGAUGCAGCUUGGAUCCUGUGUUGCUGUGGCUGUGGCUGUGGCUGGCAGCUGUAACUCUGAUUCGACUGCUAGUCAGGGAACUUCCAUAUACCCCAGAUGCAACCCUAAAAAAGCAAAAAAAAAAAAAAAAAGUUCAUUAUAAACUAGACUGUAUAUUAAAAAUACCAAUGUAUAUCUAAAAUUAAAUUUUCUGAUAAUAUUAGAGCUAACUUUGUGAGUUGAGUCCUUCAUUGCAUAACCAUAAUUUCUACUUAAAUUCUAUAGAGAGUUAGGGAAUGAAAUGUAGCAGAAAUUGGGUCACUGGAGUUUUAAGUUAAAUUUCAUUUCAUAGAAAUCUAAGACACUUUUUAUUUUUUUUCUCCUGGUGCUAGUAAUCAGUCCAGAAAAUGACAAGAAAAUUAUUUCUCAGAGUUGUCCAGAAAUUAAACUUUUUUUCUCAGCCAUCUUUCUUCUUCAUUCUCCAUUUAUAUUCCAAUUAUCCAAUUAUAGAUGUGGCACCAUGAUAAAACUUGAGAAGAUAUUAAUUAAAAUGUCUAUAGGCAUUCCCUGGUGGCUCAGCAGGUUAAGGAUCCAGUGUUGUCACUGCUGUGGCUGGGGUUGCUGCUGUGGCAUGGGUUCAAUCCCUAGCCUGGGAACUUCCGUAUGCUGUGGGCAUGGCCAAAAAGAAAAAAAGGUAAGUAAACUGUAAAGAUAGCCACUUGUAACUUUAUAUCCUCAAUAAGAACCUGCAGAUAAUGUAAACAUUGUUUGCAAUUACCUUCCCCCACCCCCACAUCUAGCACUAGGUGUUUAUUAGUUAUUAUUCUGGCAUCUCUACAUCUGGUAAGAAUCAUACUGCAGGAAUUGCAAAUGACCACUGUUCCCAGGAACCAGCCAGCCUCUAAAUGAGUGAAGUGUCUCUGGUGAUAUAUCAGUACAUCAUAAAUGGCUACACCUCAAGUGACUUCAAAACAAUAGUGAAUGAUGAAGAUUUUAGGAGACAAGACAGUUCCUGUCCCUUCUUAAUGAAGCAGCCUCUACUCAACCCCAUCAGGUUAUGUCCAGCUAUGAAUGGUGGCCUAGUAUUGGGUUUCAUAUAUUAAGACAGAAGUCUCAUUUUAACUGAAAAUCUGAUUUUUCAAGGUUGGUAACUAAUUUAAAUUUUAAAGGGAAUUACUUGGGCUAGGAAACCUUGUUAAGAAUGUUUGAAGGGAAAAUCCAAAUAAGUUUUAUAGAAACUAUGAUAACAAUAUGGGAGACAGAGGGAAGAGGGCAGGCAUGAUUAGAGGCAGGAAGUUGUUAAGGACCAAAUGGCCAGAUGAAGGGUAAUGAUGGCCCAUACUGGAGUGGUGCCAACAGUUCCGGAAAAAGAAUAAACAGGUGGCUAGAGAUCUCCAGGAAAUAGAAUAGGCAGGACCUUGAACCCAAUUGUGUAGGGAUAAGAGCUGUGGAAGAAUUGAAGUUUCAAGUUUCUCUAGGGUCCUAGGAGGAAAAAAAAACAAAAACAAAAACUUCUGGGGCUCAGGUGGAAUGUGCAUAUUUUUAUCAGUAAUCUCAAUCCAAUUAUCUGUCUUCCGCGAGUGCAGACACCACUCCUGCGCACACAGAAUAAUUAUACCAUGUAUGGGCUCAGUUUUGAUUUUUCAAUCAGGAAAUGCACGGAUACCAUUGCUACAUUUGCUUGAAAGGUCACGGCUUCAGAGGUUUAGAGGCUGGAAAGCAAAGAUGAAAAUAGAAGCAUCGUGAUUUUGUAAAACAGAUGGGGUGGGGGCGGGGGAAGCCAACAGAGGUCAGUCUGCAGUCCCUGGCAGGGGAGAAGAAUGAGAGAAGCAAAUUCAGGAACUAAAAUCUCUCCUGGUGACCAUGAUGCUGGAAAAAUAGGAAAGGGGAAGUACAGCUAUGAAUCUCUCCAAUCUGGGUUAGCUUGAUACUGGACAUUGAACAACGGAUGCUUCUAUAGCGUGGAUGUUCUGUCUAUUGCAUAAAGACAAAGUUGAAAUUCCUUUGAAAUCGUGGAGGUAUCUGUCAUCUGUAUUCAGAGACAAAAAUAAGAAGAGUUGGAGGGAGGCGAAUGUUAGGGUAUAAAAAGCAACAGUCAUGUCAAUUCAGCAGGAUUUACUGGGUGCAUUCAGAUAGAAGACAAGGCCCUGAUGAUUCAGUAUCGAUUAAGACAUAUCCAAGCUCUCAGAACUGAUAAACAUUUAAACAAGUAAUAGCAAGAGCAUAGACCAGAUAUUGGAUUCACCAUUUUAGAGAUUGAGCUCCAGUGUUCAAGGACUAGGUAUCUGAAUGGUGAUGUCCAGUUGCUGGAAAGAAGGGCCUCAUUUCCAAAAAAGACAUCGUGGCUCAACACAUCGCUUAAAAUACAGCUUGAAUAUCAGUUCUAGCAAAUGUUGCACAUUUCUCAAAAAGUGGAGUGUGCUAAGGGUGGCACCUAGAAGAUCCUGGAAACUCAGUAAGCAGGGAUUUACUAGAUCCACACAGGAUAAGCAAGACUUCUGUCAUUCUUGACCUGUGCUAAGGGGCAUUUAAGCAACAGGCAUCAUAGCCUCUCUAAAAGAGAAGGCCGGUAAAAAAUUGGGGGAUGAUAAAGUUAAAUAGGUCAUUGAGGUUGAAAGAGGUCUGCCCUGCAACCAAAAUGUAGGAUGACCUGGGAAGCAAUUUGAAGUUCAACAUAGGUGUAAAUAUUGUAUGAAAUCCCCUUCCCUCUGCUAUCUCACCUUCUGGGUUUCAAUACCAUCCCAGCUCUUUCAUGAAGCCUUCACUAAUCCAGCAAACUGGUCAUUAAUUCUUCCCUUCAGAGGCCCGAAAGCAUUUAAUGUCUCUUUCUUCCCCGACACUUAACCAUUUCACCAUCUUGCCUUCUCCUCUUAGGUGGGUCAUGUUUGGUCACUAGGAUGAUGAUUGUAAGUGGUCAUCCAAACUGGAACACUUGGGAGAGUGAAACUGGGUGAGGGAGAGUUCUAUUAGUGCUGCUACUAAUUCCUGAGGGACCACAGGCAUACAUGGGGACUGUCCUGAGCCACCCAGGUCGGGGAGUCACCGGACUUAUUUCCCUCACUGGGCCACAUGGUCCUUUUACCUCCUCAAGGCCUUGCACAGGCUUGCACAGAGUGGCAUUCAGUGACUCUGUUAGAUGCUAUUGAAAGGGCCAUGGGGUGAUUAAUUACAUGACCCCAAACUCUUCAUUAUCUACACGAGGGAACUGAAGUUCAGAGAGGUUAUAUGACUUGCCUGUGGCUUCACAGCUAGUUCUUAACCUUGCAGGACUAUUCUCUUCAUGCCUAAUUUUUUGUUGUCUUACUAAUACCGCAGACGAAUACCUGUUGUUGUUUCCUUCCUUCCUUCCUUCCUUCCUUCCUUCCUUCUUUCUUUCUUUCUUUUUCUUUCUUUCUUUUGUGUGUUUUAGGGCAGUACUUGUGGCAUAUAGAAGUUCCUGGGCUAAGGGUUCAAUCAGAGCUCCAGCAGCUGGCCUAUGCCACAGCCACAGCAACACCACAGCUCAUGGCAACACCAGAUCAUUUAACCCACUGGGUGAGGCCAGUGAUCGAACCUGCAUCCUCAUGGAUAGUAGUGGGGUUCAUAACCCCCUGAUCCACAAUGGGAACUCCCCACAGACUAAUAUUUUUCCUCAAACACUGCCACUUGCUUAUAACCUGCCUGUUUAAUAAUAUCGUUUUGCCUCUUUGGUCAGAUUUUGAUGUCAAAUUUUUCUGCCUGAUCCAUAGUGAUACUAACACACAAAUCAUAAUCGAAUUAACAGAUGGUCAUUGAAGUACUGAUUCUUAGUAAUGAACAGGGACUUGGUAAUAAUAUAGUCAAGUCCUCUUAUAAGUAGGGAAAAUGAAACUCAGAAAACAUCAUGUGAUUUGUUCUCAGGUCAAUCAGCUAGUUAGUGAUAAAUCCAAACGGAAACUCACUCCUCUUAAGUCUUUUAAUUCCCAGACCAGUAUUUUUCUUACGGUAUCUCACUGCUUCAGAAGUGACAGGCAGCAAAGUGUUAGCAACCAAAAAUCUACAGUGACAUCACAAUGGUUUCUAUUUUUUCUUGUAGUUUUCUAAAUGCUGCCUUUUGUUACAGGAUCCUCAGCUACAACUCUAUGAGGCUGGCAAGGUAGCUGAGAAGUUUUACAAAUUAGGCAAUCAAAAGCCAGAAUUUAAGGGACUUGGGACCAAAGUGAUUCAAUUUCUUGUAAUAGAGAGAACCCAAAGAAACUUGUUCAAUCUUAAUGCUGUCCUUGAAAGAUUUUUUUCCCCUAAUUCAGCAAGGCAAAACUCUGUUAGCCAAGAUGUUCUUCGAGGAAGAAUUUGGGAUUGUAUGUUAAAAAGCUUUCUUCAAGUUUCUCAUCACCCAAUUGCCAUAUCCUGAUUUGCUUUUGCUCUUGUGAGGAAUUCUUACAGUCAGAAAAUUGUGGUUCUUUGUUCUUUUAGCUAGAAAGGUAAAGAAUUUUGAAAUCAUGUUCUGAGUGAGCUAAGGCAAAGCAACAAGAUAAAGCUUUCAGGAUUCUAGUUCUAAACAGAAAAAGGAAGAGAAAGAAAAUCUGCAAGUCGAUUGCAUACAGAGCCUUGUUGAAGCUUGAAUGCUUCAGGUGUGAUGCUGAAUUACUGAAGUGACUUGCUGGGCUCCCAAACAGGGAUUUCAAGGAGAACUUGGUUUUUUCUGCAGGCUGCACACGCCUUCUACUUAGAGAGCAUUUAAGCCUGUGUGCACCAUGCUAAAAACGACCUCAAUCAGCCCAAUUAGCAAAUCAAGUUUCCCAGGUUAUUUUGUUGCUUUGCUCUGCUGAAGCUCCAUUGAGACUCUUUCUGAUUAAAUUAAAUGUGAAUGAGAGAAAAAAGUGAGAAGGAGAGGGAAACAUUUUCAGAAUGUUUCUAGAAUCCUUGCUAAAUAGCUGAGCAGCACUUUUCCUGGGGGGUUCAUUGGGAUUGUGAGGUGCCUAAUGGAAGGCGGGAUCGUGCUUUGUUCACAGCACUUGUCUCCAGGACCUCAACAGGGGCAAGGGGUUUGAUGGAACCCAGUCAACACUGGCCAGAUAAACCAGUGAGUUAGUUAGUCUGGAACCUGCCCAGGCUGACUCCCUGUCUUCUUUAGCCAGAUGGAGGGCUUUUCUGCAGGGCGCCACACACUCAGAUUGCCAGUGACCUCACUGGUUGUAAUGAAUUGUUUACACAUUUCUUUCCCACCAGAAAAUCAUCUUCUCCCAGAGACCUUUAAUAUACAUUUUUAUUUUAUUUUUUGUCAAUUUUGAAUAUCCUUUGCCUUUCUAUCUUGCCUUGUGAUGUUUAAUGCCUAUUGUUUAUUUGUGUGAUUGAUUGAUUGAUUGAUUGAUUUUUAGGGCAGCAUCCUCAGCAUAUGGAAGUUCCCAGGCUAGGGGUCAAAUCAGAGCUGCAACUGCCAGCCUAUACCACAGCCACAGCAACACCAGAUCUGAGCUACAUCUGUGACCUGCACCACAGCUCACGGCAAUGCUGGAUCAUUAAUCCAUUGAGCGAGGCCAGGGAUCAAACCCGAAUCCUCAUAGAAACUAGUUGGAUUUGUUUCUGCUGAGUCACAAUGGAAACUCCCUGUUUAAUACAUAUUUAUUGAAUAAAAAGAUAAAGGAAUGAGCUCUUGGCAGCCUUUCCUCCCUAACUCAUGAAGGUAAGGAGGAGGAAUGAUUGUAUUUAAAAGAGCAUAAGGCUUCUAUUUGAUCUUGAAGCACCAUUAUUGCAUACUGAAUAUAUACAUAAAUAUACAUAAAUAUAACAUAACAUAAAUAGCAUAUAAAUACUAAACUAUAUGUUAUAAAUGAAAGACAAUAUAAAUCAUGGAUAUAAAACACUAUAACUGUACUAUAACUAAUUUGGUAUUAAUAUAAUAUAUAAAGGAUAGUAAAUGAUGCUAAGUGUAAAAGUAGGUGCACUUUUGUUACACUUGGCUUCUUUUUUCCUCAAUAUACUUUAUAAAAUUUAAAAUGACAGACAUACAAUCAUGACUCAGCUUAAUCAGUUCAGUCUUAAAAACUCUGGAUUCAGUUCAUUUUGUGUCCUAUGGCAAGUUACUUAAACCUCACCAAGACUGUUUCCUCAUCUUUAAAAUAUAUAGUAAUAUCUUUUUUUUUUUUUUUUGUCUUUUUAGGGCCACACCCAUGGCAUAUGGAGGUUCCCAGGCUAGGGGUCAAAUCAAAGCUACAGCUGCUGGCCUGUCCCACAGCCACAGCAAUGCAGAAUCUGAACCACAUCUGCGACCUCCACCACAGCUCAUGGCAAUGCCAGAUCCUUAACCCACUGAUUGAGGCCAGGGAUCAAACCUGCAUCCUCAUNGGAUACUAGUUGGAUUCAUUUCCACUGCUCCACAACAGGAACUCCUAAAAUCUAUAGUAAUGUUUACUGUGUGGGUUAUUGUAAUGAUAAGAGCUAUCAUAUAUUGGGCACUUACUGUGAGGUCCAUCUGCUCUGCGCUCUCUCUGUCCUUGCCUACACACAGCAAAGGUUUGGAGGUGCAGGCUGAGAAGCUCUGCAGUGGUGCUGGGAUAGAGCCAGGGGGCUCCUCACGCAAGACAAGAGGCAGGUGGUUUCUCCAGGCAGGAGGGAUCAGCUCAUGGAUGGAGCAGUUCUUGGUCAAAGGGAAUUUAUUUUUUGGCAUUUUUAAUGUGGCAUAAGAAUACUACGUUAGGGUUCAUAAUAUAUGUGAAUUCUAGAUUUACUUCUGCCACCAAGGAGCUUUGUCAUUGUAGCUAAGCUGCAUUUUAUUUGUGCAGUAAACAUGGAAACUUGUCUUAUAAUCUUUCUCCUUCCAAAGUGUACACACACACCCCACCACACACACACACACUCUUUGUCAUAAAUGUGAUAUAAUAUAUGAUUGAUUCAGUAUUUUGGGGAUAUUGAAUUUGCUUGUUGUGCAUAACGGUUAUAGAAGAAUGUUAUCUACCUUGGAAUUUUUCACAUCUCAUAUUCUUUUUCUCUACUUUUAAAAUGAUCUAAUGAUCUAGUUGUUUAAUGAUCUAAAUUGAAUAUAAAUUUAGGUAAACAUUACUGUCAUUUUAUAUAGUUAUUGUCGUGUGUGAUACUGAUUAAUUUGUCUUGGACAGCAGAAUAAAACGGUGAUCAAUAUUUCUGAUUGAUUUUUUUUUUCUGCUGGAAUGGUGUGAGUAUACACUGAUCAAGCUGAUUUUUGCUGCUGAUCAGACUCAUGAAGCACAAUUUGUAUAAUUGUUUUGAUGUUUCUCCUCUGACGUCCACAUUGAUUUGCGGGCAGAUUUUGAAGAUGCACUCUUAUAACAGAAAGAGACAUGGACAGAUUAGAGCAGAAACCACUUAGAGCAGAAAUUAUGUACUAACCAUGCAGUUCACCUUAAUGUUCUCUCUCACAGAGCCCCUUUUCAAGAGCUGCAUAAUUGAUACUGCCAUCAGCGCUCUCACAUUCUUUCAGCAUAGCUAAGAGAAUAGGGUGGAGGAGAAUACAGCAUAGAGACCCAAGAUUGUAUAACAGAAUUAAGCCUGUUUUAUUUCACAAAAUAUUCCAUUCAUUAGAAGUGAAAAUUUUCAUUGCAAAUGAACCAAGGCAGGUAGCCUGAACUCAUUCUUUGUUUCUCCCGGAAGAGAUGAUUUCAACAGAUGGUAAAAACUCAAUAAAGGAUUGCCAUGUGCCAAUCCGUUAUUUCAAAGGAAACAUAGGUGCUUCACAAAGGGACCCUUUUUUUUCCUCCUGUGGCAUUAUCUUUUCGAAUACCCUUCACUUAUAGAAUACAUGUGUGUUCGUAUCACCCUGAGAGAGCUGCUGCCAGAGGGAAAAUGUUUUCCCAGCCAUAAUCUGACUCCGGAUGGAAUCUCAGGAUUGAGUACAAUGAAGAUGCUUAUACCGUAGGUGCCAUCUGAGAUCCAGAACCUAUACCUGCAGUAAUGAUCAGGAACCUCUCUGUUGGAGGAAUCAGCCCCUCUGGAUAUUUUAGAACACUUUUGAGAGUUUCAUUAUAAUACAAUGAUGAGGAAGAUGAUCGAUUGUGCUAGUCAGGUACUUUCUGUCCUCACAAAUUCUUACAGGAAAGGUGUUAAUGUGUCCUUUUUAUGAAGGAGUAAUCUGACCCUCAGGACAUUUAAAUGACUUGCCAGAGGUCACACUGCUGGUGAGUGAUGCAGCCAGAAUGUGAAUUCAGUACUGUCAUUUUGUGGGUGUGUUUCCCAGGCUUUGUGGUACUACUGCUGCUGCUGCUUAUUUCCAGCUUCAGUGUCGGUCUGAUCAACUCUUCCCAAACACCCACACGUUGGUGUUGAAUCCUUGUACUGAAGGCAGGUGGUGCCAUCAGCUCCUCAGGCUAAUGCCUUAUUUAUUAUUUUUAUUAAAGCACAUUUUACUUUAUUGUUUUAGUUGUCGUUGUUGUUAUUUUUGGGGGGCCACACACACGACAUAUGAAAGUUCCUCCUAGAGGGUUGAAUCAGUGCUAUAGCUGCCAGCCUAUACCACAGCAACACAGAAUCCAGGCUGUGUCUGCAACCUACACUAUAGCUCACAGCAACACCGGAUCCUGGACCCACUGAGCAAGGCUAGGGAUUGAACCUGAAUCCUCAUGGAUACUAGUCAGAUUCAAUUCCACUGAGCCACAAAAAUUAUUUUUUUAAGCAUUAAUCCAGUGAGUGGAAUUUGAGAGGCUAUUCAAGUUCUUGAGCUACUUCCUAGGGAUAAUUCAACUUUUUAAAUUAUCUGGAGAGAGACUCCCUACAAAGUUAGACCUUCAGAGUGGUGCCAGACUCAGAAACAAAACACAGACAGAACUCUCCUGUGCAACGAUGGUGAAUAGACAGAAUCAAGUGAAAGGUCCAAGGUGAAGUCAAGAUUUGAAUGGUCCAACCAGCAUACUACAGUGGUUCCAUGGUGAAUAAAAAAGAAGGGUGGGCUUUUAUCACCAGUGAGGGGAUAAUGACCAAUUAAAAUGGAAACAAAAAAAAAUCUAAGAGAGAAAAAAGGGAGAUGAGUGUGACAAAUAGAGAAAGCAAAUGCAUGGUUGUUUCAGAAAAGACAAGAGAAGGUGGAGUUCUUUGUAUAAGAGGUGACAACAGGGUGUCAAGUGACAACUAUUCUGAGAACAGAAGAGAAAUCUAAGCCAAAGAGAAGAAAUCAUUUCUGUGUUUAAGAGGAUUAGGAAACAAAGAACAAUUUAAUUAUUAGAGAUAAUAUUGCUAAUUAUUUUUAUUAUAUUUACUAAUCUCUUCUACAUAUGACAGUUCAUUUUACUCUUCACAAAAAUUCCAUGUAGUCGGUUACCUGGAUGCUUCAACCUCUGUUUUAGAAAUACGGGAUCUUUAGUAUCUGUGAGACUAAGAGACUUUAUUUUCUUGAACUAUUAGUAGAGCUGAAACAAGAAAGUGUAUGUUCUGGCCUCACCUAUUUCUCUUUCACUGUGGACUGCAGGGCCCCACUGUGUAAUGUUACAUCUAUCAGAGGAUGGUUUUACCACAUAUGUGUGGGGCUUUUAGUUAUUGGACUAGUCUGGUCUUCUGAAUUUGAAAUAGCCAUAGGGAUAAAGAUUUAUAAAAAUUGCCGCACUGAGUGUAUUUUACUUGUUGCAUUUUACUAACCUAGGCUAAUUAUGGUGCAUUCAUUAUAGAAUGGGGGCCAAUUAUGUCAGGCUCUGACUUGGACUGUCAGAGAGGAUGGUGAGCUGAAAACUCAGUGGGCCUUUGCAAUGGAAACAGGAAGCCAGAUGGACUCAGCUGCAGCAUAUAGAAAGGGCGUAGGAACUAUAGUGGUCAUUUGUUGUUCCCUUCUCUGCUUCCUGGUUGUGAAUACAAUAAAGCUGACCUGUCACCUCUCCACCCUCAAGCCACAGGGAUUGGUAUGUGCCCCUCACUGGGUCAAUCAGUGUCUUCCUUGGUUACUUUUUGCCACAGUAGGUGGAAAAGAUGGUUGUUGUCCACAGGAAUUGAUCGGGGGAUGUUGAUAUGAGGCUGCCAGCUGCCAUUUUACCACCUGGAGGGAGCCUGACAGAAAACUCAGAGAACCCCUGGCCCCACUGAUGGAGCCUCCCAAAGAAUCAGGUGCAUCCUUGAACUUCCCACUUGAGGUAACAAGUAAAUCCUCAGGUUAUUAUGAUGUGAGAUUCCAUCAUUCUAGAAAUCAGUCAUAUACAAAUACAACUGGCUGGUGUGUAAUGAUAAUAGUCAACACUGGUGUUUUCUGGUGGCUCCCGGAUUAAGGAUCCAGCAUUCCCACUUCUGUGGCACAGGUGGGUUUGAUCCCUGGCCCUGGAAUUUUUGCAUGCCGUGGGCAUAGUCAAAAGGAAAGAAAAAUAGCACUUAGUGAAAUGAAUGCUAUAAUGUGAGGCAUGCUUCUAAGAAAUUUCAUGCAUGAAUCAUUUAAAUCUCACAACAGUCCUAUGACGUAUACACCAUUAUCAUUUCUAUUUUACAGAUGAAGAAACUAAAGCUUAGGGAGGUCGCAUGACUUUCCCUUAGAUAACAGCGAUAGGAAGAAAUAGGGCUGCAGAACAGGGAUUUGAACCUAGAGAGAAAGUGAGAGCUGUUUAUACACAUGCAUACACUUUAUCUUUAUAUAUANUUUACCUCUUUGUAAUGUGAAAAAAAAUUUCAAUAAAAAUGUUAGAAAAUUAAUGUUGGUUAUGUGCAUGGAAAUGAGUAUCCUAAAUUUUAUCCCAUUGUCAUGGACAAUGAUAGACCUUACUGCUAGAGCUUAAAAAGCAACUAUAGAUUUAUGAGUGUUUUGAAAGGAUAUAAGUAGAAAAUUGAGUAUUGCUAUUGAAGUAUCCUACUAUAUGACAUUGAAUCUCCGAAAGAGCAGCUAGUUAGCUGGUCAAAGCUUUUUCAGAGGUAAACAAAACAAAAACCUAGAAGCAGCUAGAUAGAGGCACCAGAGUGCAUUGUUUAUGAAUAUCAUUUAGGGAAACAUUGCAGUGGGAAGAAUCUCUAAACAGAUACUGAGAAUGAAAAUAUUUUGUGAGCCAGAACAUAUAAUCAAGCCAAGUACUGGGACAUCGCAAAGUUAGAAUUUAUCAUAAAACUAGAAAACAGAAAAACACUGUAUUAGGGAAGUUGCAGAAGAAUUCCGUAGAUAUUUCAGAAAAAAAAUAUCUCAAAGCAGCAUCCAGUUCCUGGGUACUUUGUGUAGAUGAACCUAAAUCUAUUUUGCAAGGAUCCCAGGCUCUAAAUUAUAAUUAGUGAAUCCCAUGCCAAGAUGUAUGUGAAAUUGAACGGGUUAACUCUCUCACCAUGACCAAUGAUACAGACACCCUAAAAAAUAAAUGUUCUAAUUUUCAAAAGUGUCAAGGUCUUAUCACUUCCUAUUGUAUCAUGCAAAAAAUGCAAAAACUGCAGGCAAACGCUUUUGAAAUACCUGCUUUUAUGCUUUCAGGAAAGUAAUGUCUUAGAAUCAUGAUUGCGUCUUAGGACUGGGGUUGGCCAAUGGGAUAAAUCCAGCCCUCCAUCUGUUCCUGAAGGGCUGGUACACUAAGGAUAUUUUUUAAUAUAUUUAAAUGCUUGGAAAAAAACAAAAGAAGAAGAAUAUUUAGUGACUUAAAAAUUAGAUUAAAUUUAAGUUUCAGAGUCUAUAAAUGAAGUUAACUGGAAUACAGCCCUUAGUCAUUGAUUUACAUACUGUCUAUGGCAUGUGUGUGUGUGUGUGUGUGUGUGUGUGUGUGACUUAACAAUCUCACCUAUUAUGUUGUUAUUUCCUAGAUUAAAGUCAUAAACCAUGGUUGAUUCAAAAUAGGCAGUGAUACUUUAGAAUUUUCUUUUUUUUUAGUGACAAGUUUAUAUAAUCCUCUGGCAAGUGAUGUAGGGUAUCAAUUUCAUUCCCAUGAUUUAUUUAAUUAAUAAUAGAAAAAUUUUAUGUGAACUCUACCCAGUUGCUGUAUGUAGUGUCACGGAGAUAAAGAAGACAUUUUGGUUUUGGAAUGUUUUCUUAAAAUGCCUAAGUAAUUUUGUGAAAUGAGCAAUUCUUGGAUUUCUUUCACCUCAUUAACAGAUUUGGUAAGGCAAUCAGGAUUUUAAAAAAUGCGUGUACCUAGAGAAAAAAUUAUAAUUCCUGUGCUCCAUUGUACUGCAAUUUAGAAAUCACAGUUGUCUGGUACAGAUCUCUGAUAAGAAAAGAAGGACUACUCACAAAAAGAGCAAAGUAACCUCUACACUUGGAAUUUAUAGCUAGAAUUGUUGUGUUUACACUGUCUGUAAUUACCAGUCCCUUUCCUUAUCUCUAAUUCAUAAAUUCUACCCAUGUAUGUUAUUUCUUUAAAACAUUCCUAUUUCUUUAAAAUUUUGAAGCAUUAAAAUAUGUCCAAAAUGUAUAUCUAAUUCUGCAGAUUGAAGAAUGAUAAUAUAAUUGUCUCUAUGCUCACCUACUUUCUCUGCCAUUUGUUCUCUGUGUUCUUAGGGAAUACUUUUUCUAUCUCCUAUUAAUUACAAUUAAUAAUUAUUGCAUCCUAUAUUCCUCUGAAAUAUUGUGAGCUUCUUCAAGGCAUUAUCCAUCACUCAUUCUCAUUCCCCUUUCCCCUCCCCCCAGCAUCUAGGACAUUACCUUUAUCAAAGGAAGUACUUCAGUAAAUGUACGCAAAAUGAAUGAGUCCAUGUAUUAUAAGCUCUGUAGAGAGAAAUCUUUCAUUAUUUGUUUCUUAUAGUUUAAGCUUAGGGGCUUAGAGUAGGCAAUUAGCAAAUGUUGCAAUUGAAUGAAAAGUCCUAUUUUUCCAUUUAGAGGCGCUCCCUGAGUGUCUAGGAAGAGAUGCUGUGAGUUAUGAGUUGUAUGGACAUUUUUCUCCAAAAUACUAAUGUACUAUAGCAGUACCCUGAGAGUUAUUGAAGUGCUCAAGGCUACCUGAUCCAUGAAGACCUUCAGUUAUAUAUACUAUGACUAUCAUAUUCUUUCUCUCUCUCUCACCAGCUAGUUCUGUUAGUCCUGGCAAGUUGGUCCGCUUUUUGCUGUUCUCAUUACAUGUUUAAAGUGUCCCUAUAGCUCAUGCCACUGGAUGCUUCAGCAUUAGGCUAGUCUUUUCUAUUUUCCACUUUCCAGCUCCCCCUACUCAUUUUAAACCCUUUCCCUAUCCUUUUUUUAUUAUUAUUAAAGUAUAGUUAAUUUACAGUGUUUCUUCAGUUUCUGUUAUACAGCAAAGUAACCCAAUCACACACAAUUUCCCAGUUUCCCCUGGGCUGUACAGUAGGGUCUCAUUGCCUUUUUGUCCCAAAUAUAACAGUUUGCAUCACCAAACCCCAAACUGCACGUGCAUCACACUUCCUCCUGCCUCCAUCCUGAGAACCACAAGUGGGCUCUCCUUGG
rnacentral:misc_RNA from 1 species